GACGAACGCUGGCGGCGUGCCUAAUACAUGCAAGUCGAACGCUUCUUUCCUCCCGAUUGCUUGCACUCAAUUGGAAAGAGGAGUGGCGGACGGGUGAGUAACACGUGGGUAACCUACCCAUCAGCGGGGGAUAACACUUGGAAACAGGUGCUAAUAUCGCAUAACAGUUUAUGCCGUAUGGCAUAAGAGUGAAAGGCGCAUUCGGGUGUCGCUGAGGGAUGGAUCCGCGGUGCAUUAGCUAGUUGGUGAGGUAACGGCUCACCAAGGCCACGAUGCAUAGCCGACCUGAGAGGGUGAUCGGCCACACUGGGACUGAGACACGGCCCAGACUCCUACGGGAGGCAGCAGUAGGGAAUCUUCGGCAAUGGGCGAAAGUCUGACCGAGCAACGCCGCGUGAGUGAAGAAGGUUUUCGGAUCGUAAAACUCUGUUGUUAGAGAAGAACAAGGACGUUAGUAACUGAGCGUCCCCUGACGGUAUCUAACCAGAAAGCCACGGCUAACUACGUG
rnacentral:rRNA from 1 species